AUUGAACGCUGGCGGCAUGCUUUACACAUGCAAGUCGAACGGUAACAGGUUAAGCUGACGAGUGGCGAACGGGUGAGUAAUGCAUCGGAACGUGCCCGAUCGUGGGGGAUAACACUUCGAAAGAAGUGCUAAUACCGCAUACGAUCUGAGGAUGAAAGCGGGGGACCGUAAGGCCUCGCGCGAUCGGAGCGGCCGAUGUCAGAUUAGGUAGUUGGUGGGGUAAAGGCUCACCAAGCCGACGAUCUGUAGCUGGUCUGAGAGGACGACCAGCCACACUGGGACUGAGACACGGCCCAGACUCCUACGGGAGGCAGCAGUGGGGAAUUUUGGACAAUGGGCGCAAGCCUGAUCCAGCAAUGCCGCGUGCAGGAAGAAGGCCUUCGGGUUGUAAACUGCUUUUGUACGGAGCGAAAAGGCUCCCUCUAAUACAGGGGGCUCAUGACGGUACCGUAAGAAUAAGCACCGGCUAACUACGUGCCAGCCGCCGCUGUAACAC
rnacentral:rRNA from 1 species